GCGCACGGGCGAGUAACACGUGAAUGAUCUACCUCCGAGUGGGGAAUAACUGAGAGAAAUCUUGGCUAAUACCGCAUAAUCCCCACGGGUCAAAGCAGCAAUGCGCUUGGAGAGGAGUUCGCGGCCGAUUAGCUAGUUGGCGGGGUAAUGGCCCACCAAGGCGAUGAUCGGUAUCCGGCCUGAGAGGGCGCACGGACACACUGGAACUGAAACACGGUCCGGACUCCUACGGGAGACAGCAGUGGGGAAUUUUGCGCAAUGGGGGAAACCCUGACGCAGCAACGCCGCGUGGAGGAUGAAGCCCCUUGGGGUGUAAACCUCCUUUCGAUCGGGAAGAUAAUGACGGUACCGAUAUAAGAAGCCCCGGCUAACUUCGUGCCAGCAGCCGCGGUAAUACGAGGGGGGCAAGCGUUGUUCGGAAUUAUUGGGCGUAAAGGGUGCGUAGGCGGUUUGACAAGUCUGAUGUGAAAUCUAUGGGCUCAAGCCAUAGUCUGCGUCGGAAACUGUCGGGCUUGAGUAUGGGAGAGGUGAGUGGAAUUUCCCGGUGUAGCGGUGAAAUU
rnacentral:rRNA from 1 species